UGGCGUAUAGCAAGUGGUAAGGCAAUGGUUUUUGAUACCAUGAUUUCAAAGGUUCGAACCUUUUACGCCAA
rnacentral:tRNA from 1 species